rnacentral:rRNA from 1 species
AGAGUUUGAUCCUGGCUCAGGAUGAACGCUGGCGGCGUGCCUAAUACAUGCAAGUCGAGCGAACGGACGAGAAGCUUGCUUCUCUGAUGUUAGCGGCGGACGGGUGAGUAACACGUGGAUAACCUACCUAUAAGACUGGGAUAACUUCGGGAAACCGGAGCUAAUACCGGAUAAUAUUUUGAACCGCAUGGUUCAAAAGUGAAAGACGGUCUUGCUGUCACUUAUAGAUGGAUCCGCGCUGCAUUAGCUAGUUGGUAAGGUAACGGCUUACCAAGGCAACGAUGCAUAGCCGACCUGAGAGGGUGAUCGGCCACACUGGAACUGAGACACGGUCCAGACUCCUACGGGAGGCAGCAGUAGGGAAUCUUCCGCAAUGGGCGAAAGCCUGACGGAGCAACGCCGCGUGAGUGAUGAAGGUCUUCGGAUCGUAAAACUCUGUUAUUAGGGAAGAACAUAUGUGUAAGUAACUGUGCACAUCUUGACGGUACCUAAUCAGAAAGCCACGGCUAACUACGUGCCAGCAGCCGCGGUAAUACGUAGGUGGCAAGCGUUAUCCGGAAUUAUUGGGCGUAAAGCGCGCGUAGGCGGUUUUUUAAGUCUGAUGUGAAAGCCCACGGCUCAACCGUGGAGGGUCAUUGGAAACUGGAAAACUUGAGUGCAGAAGAGGAAAGUGGAAUUCCAUGUGUAGCGGUGAAAUGCGCAGAGAUAUGGAGGAACACCAGUGGCGAAGGCGACUUUCUGGUCUGUAACUGACGCUGAUGUGCGAAAGCGUGGGGAUCAAACAGGAUUAGAUACCCUGGUAGUCCACGCCGUAAACGAUGAGUGCUAAGUGUUAGGGGGUUUCCGCCCCUUAGUGCUGCAGCUAACGCAUUAAGCACUCCGCCUGGGGAGUACGACCGCAAGGUUGAAACUCAAAGGAAUUGACGGGGACCCGCACAAGCGGUGGAGCAUGUGGUUUAAUUCGAAGCAACGCGAAGAACCUUACCAAAUCUUGACAUCCUUUGACAACUCUAGAGAUAGAGCCUUCCCCUUCGGGGGACAAAGUGACAGGUGGUGCAUGGUUGUCGUCAGCUCGUGUCGUGAGAUGUUGGGUUAAGUCCCGCAACGAGCGCAACCCUUAAGCUUAGUUGCCAUCAUUAAGUUGGGCACUCUAAGUUGACUGCCGGUGACAAACCGGAGGAAGGUGGGGAUGACGUCAAAUCAUCAUGCCCCUUAUGAUUUGGGCUACACACGUGCUACAAUGGACAAUACAAAGGGCAGCGAAACCGCGAGGUCAAGCAAAUCCCAUAAAGUUGUUCUCAGUUCGGAUUGUAGUCUGCAACUCGACUACAUGAAGCUGGAAUCGCUAGUAAUCGUAGAUCAGCAUGCUACGGUGAAUACGUUCCCGGGUCUUGUACACACCGCCCGUCACACCACGAGAGUUUGUAACACCCGAAGCCGGUGGAGUAA